rnacentral:lncRNA from 1 species
UUAGUGUUUUGUUGUAUAUGUGUGCCUGUUCUAACUACAUUAUACCCUUGCUGGGUAAUAAAUUGGCACUGGAUUUCACCAGUUGUCUGGCAUUAUACUAUUGAUUCCAUGAAAUCUUGAUGUUGUCAAUUUCACAUUGUAAUCAAUUCAGUCUGCACUGCAUUGUCCUAUUAAAAGCAUUCAACAUUUUGCAAAACACUGACUGUGUAACCACUAGAGAGAAGGGAAAUGUGAAUUCAGACUAAUUUUAUAAACGGUCAAUUCACUAACAAAUGAUGUUGUCUUGUGAUUACUUUUCUUUCCAAUUUACAUUGUAACCAUGUAGACAUUGAAAAUGAAUAUUGAGAAAUAAGAAGCCUCCAUAUGACUUCUGGUAUGCACUAGUAUUGCUAGCUAUUUGCCUAAGGAUUUUGAUUCUUUUCCAGGAUGCUUUUAUCCAGCAAUUCUAGCAUAGCUGAUGUAACACUCUGCUGUGCUAGAUCAAAUCCGGGAUGAAGACCAGUAACCUAGUUAAUUUGAAUGGACAUUUAGUUGAAAUGGCCAUGGCAAGCUAGGGAAGUUCCAGCCACAGGAAAGAGAAUAGAAUAAAGGGCCCCUAUAAAUUAAGGACAGAUUUAUACCAAAUUGCCAGCUUAAAUAUCAAUACAUUCCAUCUUCAAAAGAAAACAGUCAUUUCUAGUUUCCAGCCCAGCAUGUAAGAAACUUGGAAAAUGCCACUCUAUCCUAACAAGCAAAUAGCUGAACCAACUGAAAAAAGUCAACAACUGUUUUUAGAUCCACUAGAGAAGUAAGGUCACAGAGAAAACUGCUACCCCCACAAUUGAAGAGAAAGAAAAGCAAAUACAGAGAAUCACAACAUAUCAAAAAAGAAAUCCAUGAGCAGAAACACUGUGGGAACCAGUGCACAGGUCAGAAACCCUAAACUGUAAUUGAUGAAUUGCUGGAGGUUCAGUGUGAACAAAUCAGCAAGUUAAAAACUCCAAGGGGGCUCACUCAUGGGCAGUGUCCACACUAUUGAAACUUUUCUCUCUAGGAGCUCUACCAGGUUGUCAUGGUGAAUUUUAUAGAAAAUCCAUUCGUGCUUCUGGCAGGGGGAAGAAAAAGGAAUCAUUUUGACAUAUGCCAGAGCAUUAAAAAGCCCUGUCCUUAAGAGAAAUUAUUUU